GAUAAACGCUGGCGGCGUGCGUAACACAUGCAAGUCGAACGAGAAUGUACUGACGGAUCCUUAGGGUGAAGAUAGUACAGGACAGUGGCGGAUGGGUGAGUAACGCGUAAGAAACCUGCCUUUCACACCGGGAUAGCAGCUGGAAACGGCUAUUAAUACCGGAUGACACUUUUUCCCCGCAUGAGGAAGAGGUUAAAGAAUUUCGGUGAAAGAUGGUCUUGCGUCUGAUUAGCUAGUUGGUGGGGUAACGGCCUACCAAGGCGACGAUCAGUAGCCGGCCUGAGAGGGUGUACGGCCACAUUGGGACUGAGACACGGCCCAAACUCCUACGGGGAGGCAGCAGUGGGGAAUUUUGCACAAUGGAGGAAACUCUGAUGCAGCGACGCCGCGUGAACGAAGAAGGUC
rnacentral:rRNA from 1 species